rnacentral:rRNA from 1 species
UACGGGGGGGGCAAGCGUUGUUCGGAAUUACUGGGCGUAAAGGGCUCGUAGGUGGCCAACUAAGUCAGACGUGAAAUCCCUCGGCUUAACCGGGGAACUGCGUCUGAUACUGGAUGGCUUGAGUUUGGGAGAGGGAUGCGGAAUUCCAGGUGUAGCGGUGAAAUGCGUAGAUAUCUGGAGGAACACCGGUGGCGAAGUCGGCAUCCUGGACCAACACUGACACUGAGGAGCGAAAGCCAGGGGAGCAAACGGG